CAAGAAAAAAGAUUUCGAUUUUUAUUUACUCAAGAGACGGCAGCAAAUAUCUGAGUUCGAUCCAGAUCAGGAAGAUUUAUGGGAAGGGCUUAUUGUACAUAGCGUGGAAAUGAGAAGCAAAUAAUCUCAAAUAACAGCAGCAGUUGAAGGCCGCGUCCGGUGAUCGACCGACCAGUCUAGCUGCAGAAGUUCGCUGGGAAGGAUAAGAGUUGGCAGGAACGAACUUCAGUGAAAUACUAUUGACGCAAUGCCGCUCAUCGGUCGGCGUCGGGAACCCUUCGCCCUUGAACACGUGACCCAGAUGGCCACCACAUGCGGUGCAAGUGAUUUCCGUCCUCAUCCCAUCUGGAUCCGGCUGAGAUAAAAAAGCAAGGCAAACCUAUCAAUGAUUUGAAGCAGAACACGCCCGAUUCAUUUUGCAUUUUUCGUCAUUUUCACAGUUUAGAAAGCUUGACAAACACAGAGUGGAAGAUGUCAUCUAUAGCAAGCCAUAAUAGAAAUCGACUUCAAUCAGAACCGUCUUAGUUACCUGUGACCACACGUUUAUUUGAUAAAAAGAGAGACUCACAGUGCUGGUUAUAGCUCCGGGAAGGCCCUCGUAGAAAGCAGGCCAGCCGCAGCCGGAAUUAAAUUUAGUUGUAGACCGGUAAAGAGGAGUCCCACAUCCUGCACAAUUGUACACCCCCUCUUCAGAAAACUGUCGUAUUCACCUGUGCCUGGAUAUCUACAUGUGAGAGAAACAGCAACAGAUGAGACAGAUCAAGAUGACACUUUUUUGUUUGAAGAUAAUACACGAAUAUAUGUAUUGAUUUACCGCACACGAUACCCAAUAUCAAACCAGAGGAAAGAGUUGCUUCUUGUACAAAAACAUAGUAGAGGAGGCAUCGAAAAGUAUUCAGUUAUGUUCCUUUGUUCUCCAUUGGUUUGAUACUUGAAUUAGAAAAAAGGAUGAGAUUGCAUUCAAAAAGAAUAUACAUGAGUCUUCAACUACUUGCAUCAGGCUCGGCAACAUUUAAGUCCUCUCAGAUCACUUCCAAGCCAUUAAAUAUUUGAAGAGGAUUGUUCGUGUGUAUAACACCUCAACAAUUUAAUACUACACAAGACCACAGGAAUAGGAUUCUUUCCCCAAAGCAUGAUAUGAGGAGAUCAUCCACCUAUUUUAACAGCUUUCUUUACUAGUGGGUGUAUACCUAUGUCGCAGCACAUACUAACAUAACUAAUCAGAAUGUAUCUUCUUACACAGCAUUUCAAGAAAAAUCAACCAUUGUGCUCCCAAUGUCAUUUGAUUUAUCCAUAUCAUGCGUUUCUUUUCUUGUUUUCUAGUCAAUAUUUGCCCAAGCAACGCAUAGUACCAAAACUGCAGUCCAUCAGGUGCAUGAGGCCGGCGAGGAGCUGCGGCUGGAAAGUCGAUGACGGUGACAAGGACAGAGGCAAGGAGGGAAGCACUUAGGGUGAGUGAGAAUAUGUAUGGUAGUGAGUGUGUAAAAAAAAGAAAAAAAAAGUAAAUAUCAAAAGAGAUCAGGAGAUAAAUCAACGUGAUCUUCCACAUCCAGAAAUUCAAGGGAGAUUGGAAAAGAAAUCAAAGUGAUCUUCUCAGAUCUACAAAAUCACGAGAGAUUAGGAAAUAAAUUUACGUGAUUUUCAUAUCGUACAAUUCCAAUUGGGAUUGCCUUUGCUCCCAUAAAUAGGAGUGCUCCCCAACGGAGAAGAACCCACAAAAGCAAGAAUAUGGAAGAAACAACUUUCUUCUUCCAAAAAAGAGAGUUGUCUUUUAGAGCAGCGAGAGAUCCACUUUGGCGAGAUCUACUUUGGCUGAAGUUGUGAGAUCUACCUUUGGGUGAAGUUGUAUCUCGUUAUUUAUCAUAGUGGAAGUUUGAGGUGGACUACGGUCCGUGGUUUUUCCCUUCAACUUGGAGGGUUUUCCAUGUUAAAAUUCUGGUGUUAUUUACUAUUCAUCUUUAUUGCUUUCAUCCUAUUUAAUUUUCACAGAAAUAGUAGCGGGAAAAAUUAUUUGGGCCUUCUCCGCAAAUAUUGUUUUCUUUUUUUUUCCCAACAUGAGGAGAGGAGUGCUUGAGGAAGAGAGAGGCACAAGCGGGAAGAAGAAGCGCGUUUCGUUGAAAAAAGGAGAGAAAAUGCAGCAGGCGCUAGAGCAGAGGAUUGUGAAAAAACAGGCUUUCAAUUUAUUUUUUUAAUCCACGUCAAUGGACACGUGUUGACUUGUUAGUGGGCCAGCUAGGCUUGUGUGUGACAAUGCCGAUGUUUCAGGACAACGAAGUUAACUAGAAUUGGAACAAUGAAUGUGACAAUGGCGUCAAUAUUGUCGCGCUAAUUCGGCAAGAAAUUUGGCAUUUUUGAAUGCGAGGAGAGAUGAGGGAUAAACAAAGGAAGAGAGACAAAGCUGCAAGAGCAAGGCAAAUGUGCAAAUGACUGGGGAAGUGUAUCAAAUGAUGGCCGGCUGUGAGGAGUGCUUGAAGAAUGGAGGGGGAUUUAUAUAUGCUUAGACCCUGUUCCAAUUUCGUUGGUGAAAAUCUAAAUGCCGAUCAUGGGACAAGAAAGUCUUCAUCCGAAGUGUACAUUUCCACCCAUGAUUGGUAUUUAGAUCUUCACCAAUGAAAUUGAAACAUCAAGGGUUUAAGCAUAUAUAAACUCCCCUUUUUCUUCUACCGAUCUUUAAUACUGCUCGUGGUGCCCGCAUCUUUUUCUUUCUCAAGGUCUUUUCCUUUCUCUCCGUAGCUUUCCUCACAUUGCUAUUGUUCCGAGGUCUCUCCUUUUUUUUCCUGUAUUUGCCAUUGUUGAUAAUGCUCUUUCCAGCUUACUUAUGGGGUCUUAUUCAAAAGCUCAAGGAGAAGUUGUUAGUAGUCGCGGUCCGUAUGUUCGGCUGCCGAGGAGGAGCUCUUUUGCCACUUUGAUUCAUAGUACCAGUCGGUGUUUGACUAGUCAAUGUUUUAGCCCCCAAAAAAAAAAACUAGUUGUUGCUUAACAAUUUCUUAUGUCCUAUUACAUACUGACAUUGGAUUUGAGUAGUCCUUAAAGGCUUGAGGGAAGAAGAAACGAGCGGGAGACGAGUUGGCCAACCUCUGCGUCCACCCACUCUCUCGUUCCGGCGGCUGAGCUGCAGAUUUAGAAACGCCGAGCAGCGAGCUCGCGGCCAAGACUCCAGAUCUCUAAGCUCGUCAACCUCCGCGUGGGUGCAGAUUAAAAGAAGACAUAACAUAGGGAUGUCUUUGUAUUUAUGAUUUUCCCUUUGCAUCUAUUUAGUUAAGGGAAGUUAUGAUAAAGAAUUCUAUAUCUAAAAUUCUGGUGUGGGUUGUAAUCAAAGACAUCGUCGGAAUUUUAUAUGAAAUAUAUUGUUGCUUUUUUUUUUUAUGCAUUUUUUAGUUUUGUAUACGAUUCAGUUUUGUUUUACUUGAUUUACUUAUUUAUCCAUAGGAUUUUAUAUAUUAUUUAGUAUUAUAGAUGAUAUUAUUUUGCACUUAAUUAUCAUGCCAACUUUUCGAGUUUUCUAGGUUACGACUUUUUUGCUUAUAAAUGUAAUGAAGCUUGCCUGUUAAAUAUAUAUAGAUAAAACUGAGUUUUUCUUUACCUUGCACUUCAUGCAUUAUUAAGAUUUCACUCCGUGGCACAUUUCAAUUCCUAUUACCUUCCACCAGUGAGGUGGCAUCAAAGCCAACAAAGAUCACCGGAGCAGCCUUUUUCAACAUGCCACAUCAGAACAGCUCGGCAAGAAACAUCUGCGAGAUGGAUAACAAGAAAAAAGAUUUCGGUUUUUAUUACUCGAGAGACGAGAAAAAAGAUUUCGAUUUUUAUUUACUCAAGAGACGGCAGCAAAUAUCUGAGUUCGAUCCAGAUCGGGAAGAUUUAUGGGAAGGUUUUAUUGUACAUAGCGUGGAAAUCAUAAGCAAAUAAUCUCAGAUAACAGCAGCAGUUGAAGGCCGCGUCCGGUGAUCGACCGACCAGUCUAGCUGCAGAAGUUCACUGGGAAGGAUAAGAGUUGGCAGGAACGAACUUCA
rnacentral:lncRNA from 1 species